rnacentral:lncRNA from 1 species
GGUUGUUCAACAUACCCAUAACGUUGUUGAUUGUACCAAUGACCCACAUGAUAAUUAUUACCAUUAUACCCUGAUGGCUGAACCUCCAUUGCAUAACCGGUACUAGCACUACUUUCACCAUAGCCGUACGCGUAAAUAGGAGGUGGUGGGUAUCCAUAUCCAUGGUGUUCCACUUUGUUAACCUCUACCUUAACUUCACCUUCCUCUCUUUUUCUACUUUGUUUAUUAUUGUCAUUAACAAUGUCCUUGUCUUUGUUCUUUGUCACUUUCUUUUCAUCUACUAUGUCUUUGUCUUUUUCAGUCUUAGGUGGGAUCACCUCAACU